AGCUGGAUUGGGUAAGAUGGAUCAUCUUUAAAGGCACCAGGCAAGUACAUGAUGUACAGUUACAAGUCAUGUAUUUUUUCGACUGCAAUAUUAAAUGCUUUCACGUCACAUGCAAAAUUACACAGGAAUGUGGCUGACUUUUUAUUUGUAGUUUACCUGAGUGUCAUUGCACUUUUCAGGAGUUAAGGCAGAUGUGGAGGCACAACGUGUGAUACCAGACACACACCAAGCACAUUAUGUUCGGACAUUCAAUCAUGACAGGAUCCAGGUGGAUGCUGUCCAUUGAUGAAAGAGUUUGUUCAGCGGUUUCUGGAUAGAAUUAAUUCCAAAGAUGGGAAAAAGUGCACAUCCAGACAAGGAGCAAGCAAAAAGACAAGGAACUUGGUGCAGAGAAAAGCUGUGGCCAUUAACCCCCAUGUGAACAGCUUCAUGCAGUCCCUGAUUGAGUUCGAAUGGACGACUUCAAAGUAAAGGCCACUGUGGUCUGUCUGCCACAGUUUAAUGCAUUUAUUUUUAGUGUUAAAUGAAAUUUAAGUAGAAUAUUUAAAACUAUGGGCCAGUGUUCUUUUUACCACAGUGAAAUGUUACCUUUUAGUCGAUGAUGGACUUUAAACUGAAAACUUCAAACUAUGGAACAGUGUUCUAUUUGCCAGAGUUAAAUAUGUUACAGCAGGGGUCUCCAAACUUGUUUAUACUUGUUGAUUUUAUUUUAUGUUACUUGAUUAUAUGUUUAUUAUUGUUUAAAAUCUUGUUUUAAAUAUGUUUGUUUCAAUUAAAUGUUUUUUUAAAUAAAAUUUUGAUACAUA